CAGUAGCCACGGUAAUACGUAGGGCGCAAGCGUUGUCCGGAAUUAUUGGGCGUAAAGAGCUCGUAGGCGGUCUGUCGCGUCUGGUGUGAAAUCCCGAGGCUCAACCUCGGGCUUGCAUCGGGUACGGGCAGACUAGAGUGCGGUAGGGGAGACUGGAAUUCCUGGUGUAGCGGUGGAAUGCGCAGAUAUCAGGAGGAACACCGAUGGCGAAGGCAGGUCUCUGGGCCGCAACUGACGCUGAGGAGCGAAAGCAUGGGGAGCGAACAGGAUUAGAUACCCGGGUAGUCCCUGUCUCUUAUAC
rnacentral:rRNA from 1 species